AAUUACUACAUUGUCACGUUAAAUUAAAAGCAAUGCCCUCCUGGUGGCCUGUCAGCUUAAGAGGCAUCCCUCUCUUUCAGGGCUCUGAUGUGGCUCCUGCCAGGCCCUUAUUGUGCUGGUGAAAAGGCCAAGUGAGUCUCAGCCUAUUCCCAUCCAGAGACAUUCUGGAGUAGGAUCCUGGUACAUUUCUGCCUUAGGGUUGUGUGUGAGUCUGUGUGUGUAUUUUAAGUUUGAAAGCAGACUGGCUUGGCUCUUAUACAAUCUCUACUCUGAAGUACAUCUGGCAAAGACACCGUGGCUCUUUGGAGGCUGUUGAUUCCACGGUGAAUAGAACAGGGCCAGCAUGCCCCGGGAUGAGGCAUGUCAAAGGAGCAUCCAACCGCAGUCUCCAGGAGGAAGAGAUGUUGCAUCCUACUCCAGCCAUGCCACAUCACCACGCCCAAGCAAUCCCGCAGGACAAGGACCACAUGGCCCCUGUGAGAUGUUCUCCGUGGGAAGCAUGAAGUUCACAGUGCACCUGCUAGGUUUGGCGGCCUGCAAGCGGCCAGAGGCUGUUUGCUGGGAGGAGCUCACUCAUGCCAGUGAGAGAUGAACUGAGGGAAAUGAGUUUUACCAGAUCCUGGAAGAGAAAGGAGCAGGGCCCGGUGGGUGGGCCCACUCAUUUCAAUAAGAAUCCAACGUCUCAGUGCUUAUCAAAAGCAAACCAAGCCUGCAGGCCCUUUUCAGGUUUAUGGAUCUCCAGUCCACAUCCAGGACCUUUCCUCAGGAUUAAAUGAAACUUAAACCUGCUAAAUAAACACAGGCACAAAAUAAUCAUUGAGAGUCAUUCACUGAGCAUCAAUCAUCGCAGCCAGAGUGUUUCUCGUCUUGACAGCUUACUGUAGGGAGGGAUCCCUGAGUGCUCAGGAACAAAGGUGAGGGGAGGGAGGAGAAUAUAGCAACAGAGAGGAAGAUCUUUAUACAGCAAGCUCAGGAAGAAAAUUAAAUGAAGAAAUACAGUUAUCAACAGAAAGAGAAAUCCAAAAUUGGGUGAGAGGUUUUUGUGGUAGAGGUUACAAUGGGCUCUUCUUUCUCCUUUUAAUCCAAAGUAAUAAAA
rnacentral:lncRNA from 10 species